GCUCAAUAAAUUUUCUGAGAGAAUAAGAAAAAUGGCUAGCUUGAGAUGUUAUCUGUGCGUACUGCUAAUAUUGCUGUCAUUUGCACAAUCCGAGGCCCGCCCCCUUGAUCCAUCUGUUGUACGAAGGAACCUGAUCAGGACAAUUCGAGCCCUGGGCGAGAGUGAAGCUGUCGGUGAUCAAUGUGCCAGUAAACGAGUGAGUCCAGGCGGGCCUGAUGCUAAACACCACUAAAAAGCCAGCAGUCGUUCUAUGAAAGUUAGGGGAAUUGGCUGGCUCAUAAAAUGGCUACUAUGGAUAAGAUUAAUAAGUAUGUUAUAGAAAUAAAGUGACCCUGCUUUUCUUCUGAUAUGGUGCACAUGCUUUUGAGAAAAUGUAUUCAGA
rnacentral:lncRNA from 1 species